UGGGGAAUAUUGCACAAUGGGCGCAAGCCUGAUGCAGCAACGCCGCGUGAACGAUGAAGGUCUUCGGAUCGUAAAGUUCUGUUGCAGGGGAAGAUAAUGACGGUACCCUGUGAGGAAGCCCCGGCUAACUACGUGCCAGCAGCCGCGGUAAUACGUAGGGGGCUAGCGUUAUCCGGAUUUAUUGGGUUUAAAGGGAGCGUAGGCCGUUUGGUAAGCGUGUUGUGAAAUGUAGGAGCUCAACUUCUAGAUUGCAGCGCGAACUGGCAGACUGGAGGGCGCACAACGUAGGAGGAAGUCAGGGUGUAGCGGUGAAAUGCAUAGAUAUAAUGACGAACUCAGAUUGCGAAGGCAGCAUAAGGGAGCGCAACUGACGAUAAAGCUCGAAGGUGCGGGUAUCGAACAGG
rnacentral:rRNA from 1 species